CAGCCGGGCAUCCAGGACCCGCGGCGGGGCAUGGUGGUCUGGGUGGUGCCCGAGACCCUCGAGGUGGUCGUGACCCUGUACCGGGACCCCCAGGCCGCCGCCUUCGAUGACAAAACCUGGAACUUCCUCGUGGUCAACGAGUCGCGGGGCCGGCGCUCGGUGGUGGCCGCGGCCCCGCUGGAGCUGGGGCGCCUGGCGGGCGUUGGGGACACCGC